GACAGAGGUGCCAAGCGUUAGGCGGAAUCACUGGGCUUAAAGCGUGUGUAGGCGGGUGCCUAAGUACCUUGUGAAAUCCCACGGCUCAACCGUGGAACUGCUGGGUAUACUGGGUGCCUUGGGUCAUCUAGGGGCUGCCGGAACAAAUGGUGGAGCGGUGAAAUGCGUAGAUAUCAUUUGGAACGCCAACGGCGAAAGCAGGCAGCUGGGGACGCACCGACGCUGAGACACGAAAGCCAGGGGAGCGAACGGG
rnacentral:rRNA from 1 species